rnacentral:rRNA from 1 species
UACGUAGGGUCCGAGCGUUGUCCGGAAUUACUGGGCGUAAAGAGCUCGUAGGUGGUUUGUCGCGUUGUUCGUGAAAACUCACAGCUCAACUGUGGGCGUGCGGGCGAUACGGGCAGACUGGAGUACUGCAGGGGAGACUGGAAUUCCUGGUGUAGCGGUGAAAUGCGUAGAUAUCAGGAGGAACACCGGUGGCGAAGGCGGCCCUCUGGACGGUGACUGACGCUGAGACGCGAAAGCGUGGGGAGCAAACAGG